AUAUGUAGGUUCCACACGAAUUUUUGCAUCCAAAUAGUUAGAUUUAAAGGCCGGAAAAACUACAGUAAUAAGAUUUAAUUACUUUUUCCAACCAAUAGAAACAGUUCUUCCUGUUGAUGUCAUUGACUACACAACAACUCCUACCAUGAUUACUUGAUUAUAGUAAUAAUGAUGAAUUUUUUUUUUAAUGAUAAAAAGGGUCCCGAUAAGCAGGACUAAUCGAUCUCCAACCUCUCCCAUCGGUUCUUUUCACGCGUUUGCAUGAGGUGAGAUAGCCCUAAGGACAAAUCGCUGCCGUGAAGAAUCGACCCUGAGACCUUAGGGUGGUACGCCCCAUCGAGGCAAGUGGAUUAACCACUUUUAAUUUCCUCAUUGUGAAGCCAUCACUCUUUGGCUCGUUUUCAUCGUUGCAACUUGUUUCAAUAAUUCAUAAAAAUCUAUCUUUUCGCCGAGGAAAAAAAAAAUCGAUUAAACCACUACAACAGCUCCUGAUUUAUCUGGAUAUAAACUUGUGGUGGGGCUUAUAUAUGCUGCAAAGUUGUAACCUGCAAACCCCACCCCACCUUCUCUCUCUCAUAUAGUACUAAACUUACAAAGAUUGGAAUCGUAGUUUUCUGGGGACCAAUGAAUGAGUGUAUGGCGCUUGCAGUGCUGCUGCUCAAGGUGACAUUCAUUUAUCUGCAUUUGCACCUGCACCUUACUUUCUCCCUCUAGGCCGGUCUUUCUCAUAAUAUAUGCUCACCAACUAAUUCAAUCUGGGAUAUGCAAACCCUAGCUAGGUUGAUAUAGAGAGGUGCAGAUGCCAGUGCAGACAAAUGGCAUCUUGGUUUCUCUCUCUCUCUCUCCCUCUCUCUCUUGAGGAAGUACUGCUUCUGGGCAUCGCUAAAGGUAAGCAAGCUUGGUUUAUAUCCCUCUGUGUAUGGUUGAUAUAGAGAUCGAGGUGCAGAUGCCAGUGCAGACAAAAUUUUGCAUCUCUCUCUCUCUCUCUCUCUCUCUUGAGGAAGUACUGGUUCUGGGCUCUGGCUAAAGGUAAGCAAGCUUGCUUUAAGUCCCUCUGUGUAUCUACAUAUAUACCAGUGUUCUAUAUAUGACUUCAGAGGAUUUCAUUUGCAUGGUACGUACUUAAAUCUAUUAACGAGAGGCUGCGCACACGCGCUCAACAACUUGAAUAAAAAAUGACUUAAAAAACUUUCAUAUGCAUGUAAGAUUUCUUCAGAACUUAUCCUUGCAUCUUAGUCUAGUCUUUGCAUAUUACCAACUGUUCAAGAGCUCUGGCAGCAGUCAUAGAAUCUUGGGAAUUCGUUUAUGGAAGGCAGAGGCGGCGACACCAUCAUUUCAGGCGGUUCGACGAUCAAUUACUCCAUGGUGCAAGGUGAUCAAGUUUUGAUUCCUGCCUCUAGCCCAGUUGGCAUCCUCUAGUUUCCCUUUGUAGAAGGUCAGGAUUCGAGUCCCGUCGUAGGCGCUUGUAGUUUAGGAUUAUAGAUAGCUUCUGAAACUCACAAUGGAUUAACCGAUGAUUUAACUCUCC